AGUCUGGUGCCAGCAGCCGCGGUAAUUCCAGCUCCAAUAGCGUAUAUUAAAGUUGUUGUGGUUAAAAAGCUCGUAGUUGGAUGUGUGUGACGCGGCGUCGGUUCACCGCUCUCGACAGGCGGUGUCAACUGGCGCGUCGCAGAACCGCCCUGCCGGUGGCGGUUCGAGCCCGGUCGCAGCCGCUCUGACCGCGCGCCGCUCUCCUUCGGGGGGGCGGGCGUGCCAGGCGCGCGCUCGGCCACUCGGGCGUCGACCGUCGGCCCCGGGGUCUCGCCAGCCCCGGUGUUGUCCUGUCGCGGCGCUCCCUCGGGUCACAUGUAAGGUGUCCGCCCGGGUGGGGGGCGUCGAGGCGGACCGGCACGUUUACUUUGAACAAAUUAGAGUGCUCAAAGCAGGCAAACAAAGUGUGCGACGGGCCGCAAGGCCCGGGCGCCGCCCGAAUACUGUGUGCAUAGAAUAACUGAAGAGGACGUCGGUUCCAGUUUACAGAGGUGUGAAGUGGUUUAACGGAACCCGACGUAAUGAUUAACAGGGACGGCGCGGGGGCAUUCGUACUGCGACGUUAGAGGUGAAAUUCUUGGAUCGUCGCAAGACGAACCGAAGCGAAAGCGUUUGCCAAGUACGUCCCCGUUGAUCAAGAACGAAAGUUAGAGGCUCGAAGGCGAUCAGACACCGCCCUAGUUCUAACCAUAAACGAUGUCAGCCAGCGAUCCGCCAACGUUCCUCCGCUGACUUGGCGGGCAGCUUCCGGGAAACCAAAGCUUUUGGACUCCAGGGGAAGUAUGGUUGCAAAGCUGAAACUUAAAGGAAUUGACGGAAGGACACCACCAGGAGUGGAGCCUGCGGCUUAAUUUGACUCAACACGGGAAAUCUCACCAGGCCCGGACACCGGAGGGAUUGACAGAUUGAGAGCUCUUUCUUGAUUCGGUGGGUGGUGGUGCAUGGCCGUUCUUAGUUGGUGGAGCGAUUUGUCUGGUUAAUUCCGAUAACGAACGAGACUCUUUCCUGCUGACUAGUUGACAGUGUAUCGACUCCGCCGGUCGGCGGGGCCGGGGCCCACCGUGCCGUUCGUUCGCGUCGCGCGCGUUCCCGCUCUCGGGCGGGGCGUGCGGUCGCGGCGGCGGCGCGGCCCGGUUCUCCGUGCCGCGGCGAGAGCUACCUGCAACCCAUAUAUAAUCUUCUCAGAGGGACAGACGGCGUCAAGCCGUACGAGAUUGAGCAAUAACAGGUCUGUGAUGCCCUCAGAUGUUCUGGGCCGCACGCGCGCUACACUGAAGGAAUCAGCGCGUCCUAUGCCCUGGGCCGAGAGGCUCGGGUAACCGCCUGAACCUCCUUCGUGACAGGGAUCGGGGCCUGCAAUUUUUCCCCGUGAACGAGGAAUUCCCAGUAAGCGCGAGUCAUAAGCUCGCGCUGAUUACGUCCCUGUCCUUUGUACACACCGCCCGUCGCUACUACCGAUCGAAUGAUUUGGUGAGGUCUUCGGACCGGUGGCGCGGACGGACGCGCCUCGUGCGCCCCGUCCGACGUUCAUCGGAAAGAUGCCCGAACUCGAUCAUUUAGAGGAAGUAAAAGUCGUAACAAGGUUUCCGUAGGUGAACCUGCGGAAG
rnacentral:rRNA from 1 species